GCGCGAUUGGUGAAACGGUGAACACAUCCGGCUGUGAACCGGACAUGAACGGGUUCGACUCCCGUAUCGCGCCCCA
rnacentral:tRNA from 2 species